CCUGUUCAUAUGAGGGUGACAACCCCGUCUGGCUAACCGUUCUCCAUGUAUUGCCUUAUCAAAGAGUCGAGUUGUUUGGGAAUGCAGCUCAAAGUGGGUGGUAAACUCCAUCUAAAGCUAAAUACUGGUGAGAGACCGAUAGCGAACAAGUACUGUGAAGGAAAGGUGAAAAGAACUUUGAAAAGAGAGUGAAAUAGUAUGUGAAAUUGUUGAUAGGGAAGGAAAUGAGUGGAGAGUGGCCGAGGUUUCAGCCGCCCCUCGUGGGCGGUGUACUGCCGACGCCGAGUCAUCGAUAGCGAGACGAGGGUUACAAAUGGGAGCGCCUUUCGGGCGUUCUCCCCUAACCCUCCACACUGCCACCAACAACAUAUUCCCCCCAUUUCACCCGUCUUGAAACACGGACCACGGA
rnacentral:rRNA from 1 species